rnacentral:lncRNA from 1 species
ACUCCUUCCAAGCAUGAACGGAUGUAGCGGCACCUCGAAUCAAGGCACGAACCUCAGAAAAGGUACCACCAAUCAUCAAAAUAAGGAUGUUUGUUGAGGUUAUAAAAAAAUUAGAAUAGAUCAAUAGACGGCUCAAUCUCCACUAGGAAGUAGGCCAUCAAAAAGCUAAUAAGGAAGUGCCAUGAGUUCGGGGCCAUCGAACCCAAGGCCAUACCAAAAAUGAGGAAAAGCUCAACAAUGAAAGGGGGGAGGGGA